UGAGUACGAGAUGCUACGGCAUCGAAGCAGUCUAUGUCAUACUUCCAAGAAAAGCUUGCACUGUCAUAAACAAAGAAUGCCUGUACCAUAACCGACACAGGUGGGUAGGUAGAGUAUACUAAGGGGCGCGAGAUAACUCUCUCUAAGGAACUCGGCAAAAUGACUCCGUAACUUCGGGAGAAGGAGUGCCUUAUUUCUAAGGUUGCAAUAACAAGAUCCAAGCAACUGUUUACCAAAAACACAGGUCUCCGCUAAGUCGUAAGACGAUGUAUGGGGGCUGACGCCUGCCCAGUGCCAGAAGGUUAAAGAAGUUGGUUAGCAUUAGCGAAGCUGAUAACUGAAGCCCUGGUGAACGGCGGCCGUAACAAUAACGGUCCUAAGGUAGCGAAAUUCCUUGUCGGGUAAGUUCCGACCCGCACGAAAGGCGUAAUGAUUUGGAUACUGUCUCGGAGAGGGGCUCGGUGAAAUAGACUUGUCUGUGAAGAUGCGGACUACCUGCACCUGGACAGAAAGACCCUAUGAAGCUUUACUGUAACUUGAGAUUGAAAUUGGACUUUAUUUGCGCAGUAUAGGUGGAAGGCGUUGAGAAUAAUCUUGCGGGAUUGUUGGAGCCAUCAGUGAGAUACCACUCUUGUAGUGUUAGAUUUCUAACUUUGUAUCAUUAUCUGGUCAAAGAACAGUUUCAGGCGGGCAGUUUGACUGGGGCGGUCGCCUCCCAAAGGGUAACGGAGGCGCACAAAGGUUUCCUCUGAACGGGUAGAAAUCGUAUCUAGAGUGUAAAGGCAUAAGGAAGCUUGACUGUGAGACCUACAAGUCGAGCAGGGACGAAAGUCGGUCUUAGUGAUCUGACGGUGCUGAGUGGAAAGGCCGUCACUCAACGGAUAAAAGUUACUCUAGGAUAACAGGCUGACCUCCCCCAAGAGUUCACAUCGACGGGGAGGUUUGGCACCUCGAUGUCGGCUCAUCGCAUCCUGGGGCGGUAGUCCGUCCCAAGGGUUGGGCUGUUCGCCCAUGAAAGCGGUACGCGAGCUGGGUUCAGAACGUCGUGAGACAGUUCGGUCCAUAUCCGGUGUAGGCGUUAGAAUAUUGAGAGGAGCCUUCUCUAGUACGAGAGGACCGAGAAGGACAUACCUCUGGUGUACCAGUUAUCGUGCCAACGGUAAACGCUGGGUAGCUAUGUAUGGAGUGGAUAACCGCUGAAAGCAUCUAAGUGGGAAGCCCACCUCAAGAUAAGUAUUCCC
rnacentral:rRNA from 1 species